GACGAACGCUGGCGGCGCGCUUAACACAUGCAAGUCGAACGGAGUUAACCUGAUGAGAUCUUCGGAUGGAUUCUUGUUAGCUUAGUGGCGAACGGGUGAGUAACGCGUGAGCAACCGGUCCUAAAGAGGGGGACAACUUUGAGAAAUCAAGGCUAAUACCGCGUAAGACCACACUGCGGCAUCGCAGAGGGGUCAAAGGAGAAAUCCGCUUUAGGGAGGGCUCGCGUCUGAUUAGCUAGUUGGUGAGGUAACGGCUCACCAAGGCGACGAUCAGUAGCCGUGCUGAGAGGCAGGCCGGCCACACUGGAACUGAGACACGGUCCAGACUCCUACGGGAGGCAGCAGUGGGGAAUCUUGGGCAAUGGGGGAAACCCUGACCCAGCGACGCCGCGUGAGGGAAGAAGGUCUUCGGAUUGUAAACCUUUGUGACAGGGGACGAACACAAUGACGGUACCUGUCGAGGAAGCCACGGCUAACUACGUG
rnacentral:rRNA from 1 species